CAGAGACAAGAGGCCCAAGAACCUCUUAUCAUUUACUAAGAAAGAAUGCUUUAGGCUUCCUAUGUUAUGUGUGUGCCCAAAAACUUUCCUUGAUGAGGCAACUAGUAAAUGUCCAUAUCAUUAAUCUCUCAUUAUCUUCCCCAGACAUCUGGCGAACUUGGCAUUUCCUGUGUCACAAAACAAAUUAAAUGCUAUCAACAUAGUCAGCCAAUGUGAUGACCGUCUUAACAUCAAGAAAAAUCAAGAUUCCUAUGGACCAUUGUUGCGGGAAAUAUUAAAAAAUGAACCCAUCAGUUCUCCAUGGGGCCGGAUCACACUCCUGCACUCUUGCAGCUGCCGUCAACUCUCUCCAUCUAGCCCCUACAGCAUCUGGCUCACUUGCCUCAGGAGCAACUAGUUCUUCCUCAGCGUAAAUUCCACAUUCCGGUAACUAAAUGGAACCACCAACCUCAAGGUUGGAUAACACAAUACCCACUAACCUGGUAAAAUCAGGACUCUUAAAGCUUAAUUAACUAAUCAGAUUUAUAUAUCAACAAUAUCAUAAUUUAUAAGAUGCCAACACAACAACUUCAGAGUCAAUUGACAAUGACAAAAGCUUUAUCCUAAUUAAUCUAACCUUCCAAUACCAUGACUACUUCUGGUUGGUAAAUGCCACUUGGGUUCAUGUCUGCAACCAUCUUCCUUCUCCUUUCCUCUUCCUCUUCCUCUCUCCCCUGAGACACUCUGUCUCUGCAACUCUUAGCAAUGCCUCCCUUUUGCCUGUUCAAUCACAGGCCUCCUCUGCACUAAUGUAAUUGGACAAGGAAAAUCCUGCAACAUAUC
rnacentral:lncRNA from 1 species